AGUGAACGCUGGCGGUAGGCCUAACACAUGCAAGUCGAACGGCAGCACAGAGGAGCUUGCUCCUUGGGUGGCGAGUGGCGGACGGGUGAGGAAUACAUCGGAAUCUACUCUGUCGUGGGGGAUAACGUAGGGAAACUUACGCUAAUACCGCAUACGACCUACGGGUGAAAGCAGGGGACCUUCGGGCCUUGCGCGAUUGAAUGAGCCGAUGUCGGAUUAGCUAGUUGGCGGGGUAAAGGCCCACCAAGGCGACGAUCCGUAGCGGGUCUGAGAGGAUGAUCAGCCACACUGGAACUGAGACACGGUCCAGACUCCUACGGGAGGCAGCAGUGGGGAAUAUUGGACAAUGGGCGCAAGCCUGAUCCAGCCAUACCGCGUGGGUGAAGAAGGCCUUCGGGUUGUAAAGCCCUUUUGUUGGGAAAGAAAUCCAGCUGGCUAAUACCCGGUUGGGAUGACGGUACCCAAAGAAUAAGCACCGGCUAACUUCGUGCCAGCAGCCGCGGUAACAC
rnacentral:rRNA from 1 species